CUUAAUUUUUCUAUUAGUUUUUGGAAGUGGGUCCUGCUAAAUAGUAUUAUUCUUUCCUCACAACUGGCUAAAAGUCUAACCCUAUCUAAUCUAGGCCUUUUAUGGUCAAGGUCCUAAUCUCAUUAAUUAAUGUUUGCUCAAUUGUCUUUUUUAGUUGGUUAUCUCCUAUAUGAAGUAUCUAUUCAAUAAUAAAUAUCGGAUUGAUAAGCAUAUUAGUAUGAUCAUCAUGCCAGUCUGCUUUCUAGGGCCCUUGAUUACUGACGAUUGUCCUUACAACCCAUGGAGAUAUGGAGGCAAGAGUAACAUGGCCUUCAUGUGCUGAAGAAUAGGCUGUGUCAUUAUCAAACUAUAAAGAAAAUACCCUCUCACUCUCUACAAUCUCUGCGGGCCAUUGCAUUUCGGUGCAAAUUUUGUUGUCCAUUCCUGCAAAUCAAUCUCAGUCACAGAACAUGGAAAGAGUUUCUCUCAAAGACGACGGCUCAUCGAUAAAUCCAAGGCUAUUGAGACUUGCAAGACAACAAUUAAGUUGAGAGACAAAUACAGUUUUUUUGGGUAUUGAUGCUUCAAGGUGGCAGGGUUGAAUAAACAAUAUGCUAUCCUAAAAGCAGUAUAAAAAAAUAAGGGUAAAAAUGUACCUCUAUGACAUUAAAUAAAAGGCAAAUAGGUGUAUACACAUCAGUUAGGGGUGUAAACGAGUUGGGCUACUCGAGAUUGACUCGAAAAAAGCUCGAGAUCGGCUCGAAAAAUUCGAGUCGAGCUCGAGCUCGAGUUCGAGUAGCUCCAUCUCGAGCCGAGCUCGAGUACCAUUUACUAAGGCUCGUGAGGCUCGCGAGCCUAAACGGGUCUAAACGAGCUUGUUAUAAAAUAACAAUAAUAAUUUUAUUAUCAUUAUAUUAAAUUUUUACACCUUUAAAUUUA